UGUGUGUGUGUGUGUGUGUGCUGUGUGUGUGUGUGUGUGUGUGUGUGUGUGUGUGGCUGAGGUUUGUGUGGAAGUAAGGAAAUACCCCGUAGGCGGUAUUACACUGGGGCUGUGCUGCCAUCUAGUGGUCCUAUCAGGGAAUACAGUGAGGCACAGACGGAUGCAGGGUCCACAUGGCUCACAUGAGGCAACUCAAGGAAACGUUCCUAGCAAAUCUGAACAAAUACCUCAACAAAAUAAUUUCUAUGUUUAAAUGUUAUGUAGUAAAUGUGUACUUUCAGUUUGGCACUUUUCUGGCAGUUUGCACUCCAGUGUUUGUACUAUUAUUAAAUAUUAUUUUAAGUAAUACAGUGCAGUCAGUAUGCAAAUGUGCUGGCAUUUAGCUUAAAUGCAUUUAAUUUACAUUUAAGCUACAUGCCAGCUUUAGCUGUGGUGAAAUGAAUGUGAGUUAGUCCCAGUCUUUAUUAUGUGUUAACUUGUGGUGUGGUUAUCCUAAAUGUUUGCACUGAUGUAUCUUUAAUAAUUUAUUUUCAAAUAUUAUUUAUUGUUGAACUAAUUAAAUGUGUCUAAACCGUGUGUCUGAUUUCAUUUGUACAAUAUUUCUUUCAUUUUUUCUUUUCUUUUCUUUUUUUCUUUUUUUGCUUGAAAGGGCUCUGGUUGGGCUGAAAAUAUACUGUAAUUUAUGACAUACAGCUUCUUUGGGAUCCUUGUGAUAAACCUACAAUUUGCAAACCAAAACAAGGAUUUUUCUUUUUCUUUACUUACCUGUCAUAAAGACUUUCAGUCCAGGUUAAACAUAAUUUGUUGAAACACAUACAGAUCUAGAAAGGAAACAUGUUUGUGUUAACACCAUUAACACAAAAACUGAUCAUUAUGAUUAGAAGUAACUGUAGUAGCUGUAGUAAUAAUGGUAGUAGUGGCAGAAUCCUCCCUUAGUUACGCUGCAAUAGCUCUAGGCUGCUGGGGGCUUCCCAUGAUGCACUGAGUGUUUCUUCUUUUCCCCUAUUUAUGUGUUUAUACACCUCUCCGCAUUUAAUCAUUAGUAAUUAAUAAUCCCUGGCUCUCUUGCACAGUGUGUCUUUUGUCUUGUCUCCCUCAUCUCACUCCCAACCGGUCGCAGCAGGUGGCUGUCCCUCCCUGAGCCUGGUUUUGCCAGCAGUUCCUGUUAAAAGGGAGUUUUUAUUUCUCACUGUUGCCAAGUACUUGGUCAAAGGGGUCAUAUGAAUGUUGGGUUUUUUCUUUAAACUGAGUUGAGUAAUAGUAGAAGUAUUUAGUCAAUCAUAUAGUACUUUGGGUGGACUAUACCACUAAAAUGGAAGGGGAAAACCAGACUGACACAUAUUUUAAACUGGGAAUAAGACUGUGCUUGUUAAAUAGCCUUUGUUUAUUGUAUAAUAAUAUUCACAUAUUAUCUUUUUGUCUUAGGGUUUUUACUCAGUUGUUAGUUUAUGUGUUUCCAUGGUGACCUGAUGAACAAUUUACCUGAAACUGAGUUCAGUACAAUUUGAAUUUUUGGCGGCACAGUAUGAAACUAUGUUAAUUCCGUUUUUAUAUCUUGGAGUCCUUGACAAAUAUGAGAAGUUGUAUCUUAAUAAAACAAAUGUAUAUAUGACGAUAUGGGAGUUAGGUAUUUUAGUUAUAGAUGGGAAAGUUAAAAUUUUUUAGUGAUGAUCAUCAUGGUGAGCUGGCAUGUUAGAGAGUUUAAUGGUGCAACCUUGUACAGUAUAAACAUAUAUUUUCUCACCUCGUGUGGUGUAAUUUGUUUAAAUAGGCCUCACUCAAGGAAUAGCCUGCAUUAGCAGGUUAAUUUUUAAUUGUUAAUUUCUAAUGCGAUUUAACCAUAGUACUAAACGUGAAUGUAUUACUCCGAUUGGUGGUGAUAUAUCAAUAAUGCGCGAAUGUAGCAACAGCAAGUUCAUUGUGGGAAUAAACGCAUUCUACCAAGAGUAGCAAAAAUUAGCAGAUCAAAAACAAGCAAAGCUAAAGGUAGAAGAACAGAAGAGAAGGACAGAAACACUAUAGUGAAGGUGCAACUUUUACACAUGCGUUUCCUCUCCAGAAAUGAGACAUGUCAAUGAGAGGAAGCAGUUUUGUUGAGCACCAGAAAUAUGUGGGGUACAUAUUGAGAUGACAGGAGUGACUACAACAACGCUUCCACCUGAUAUAAGUCUUGUGUCUGUCUCAAGGCAGGAUCUAACCUCUGUAUAAGCUCUUUCCCUCAUGCGCACCAUCACUGUGUUGUUUUACUAUUUCACUGUUUAGAGAUUCCCAAAUGAUCCUUCAAAGAUCUGCAGGUUUUUGUCUCUAUGGAAGCAAAUUCUUUCAACAGUGUCAAGGUCCUUGCUAAAAAAGUCCUCCUGCCAGGGCAUGCGUUACCUGCAUGGGAGGAGCAUGACUCCCCCAGGGGCCAAUAGCCAAUCAGAGUGCACACCCGUUCUCUCCUUGCUGUGUCUCCCUGCAGGCAAGUUAUGGACUUGGAUUGAAUCAGACUAAGGCGGGUGUUGUGCCAAAACGUGAUUGUCUUCCAAAAACUGAUUUCCGGUAUUUGCCAAUUUUUAAGUGGACAAAAGGGAGCUGAUUGAUUAUAAUACACACAUCCUUACUUGCCAACGAGAGUGUGUUUGACGUGGGCUCGUGGUAAAUAAAGUUCUUCCACUCUGACGUCAUUCCCCGUCUCUGACCGGACGUUAUUACCAGCGAAGGGAAUCAGGAUUUCAGUCAUCAUAUCCUGUCUGUGUUGUUGGUCAUCAGCUGCUCUCAUCUCUGUCGGGCUUAGGAAGAAAUCUCAGGAUAAGUACUUCUCUUAAAAUUGCUUAUGUACCUUUUAUUUAUCAGCUAAUUCAGAUGAUAAAAGUUUGCGAUGAUCACUCUUUAUCAUCCUUUGAUUUACACCUAUAAAGUGAAAUCAUUCCUUUUGAGUCUCUGAUAAGUUGUGACAUUUGAAAUUUUUUAAACUUAUUUCUGGAGUUUCUUUUAUUCUUCUAUUUCCUUUCUAAUCUGGUGUGAAUUGCAAAUAUCAGGCAAACUCUUGAUUGUGCAAUAUCAACAGUGUACCGCUACAUUAUUUUAUUUUAUUUUAUUUUAUUUUAUUUUAUUUUAUUUUAUUUUAUUUUAUUUUAUUUUAUUUUAUUUUAUUUUAUUUUAUUUUAUUUUAACAAUUCAGGACACUUUCUGUCAGUUGAAAAUCAGCUCUAAAAGCAGACAGCUUUUAGAUAUUAGCUUGUUACUGUUGUUACUUGAAAAUGUUUUUUCAGUUUUUACAUCAUGGGUGAGGGAACUUGACUGCUAAAAAAGCGGCAGUUCCUUUACUUUAAUUAAUAUUAUGAAGAAGUUGAGUUCAGUAGUUGAAUUAUAUUCAAGGCUUUAUUCAACAAUCCUGUGUAACACAUGUGUGUUAGGCAGGUUGUAUAGAAAAACGUGGUCAGAUUCAUGCUUCUGAUUGGCAGGUGACACCUGGUUGCACUUUCUGUUAGCAUUCAGCUUUGUGUUCUGUAACUACAGGGGUUCAACAAACAAUUGCAACGCAUCACACUGAUGUCUUCGGAAGUUUAUUUUUCUCUCUCUCUUAUUUUCUUCAGGCAUUGUGAAAACUGAAGAAAACACAAAGU